rnacentral:rRNA from 1 species
AGCAGCCGCGGUAAUUCCAGCUCCAAUAGCGUAUAUUAAAGUUGUUGCAGUUAAAAAGCUCGUAGUUGAAUUUCGGGAUCAAAUUAUCGGUCGUGCCUCGGUACGUACUGGUAUUAUUGGUUCCUACCUUCUGAAGAACCGCGAUGUCAUUAAUUUGGUGUCGUGGGGAAUCAGGACUGUUACUUUGAAAAAAUUAGAGUGUUUAAAGCAGGCUUACGCUUGAAUACAUUAGCAUGGAAUAAUGAAAUAGGACGUUUGAUUCUAUUUUGUUGGUUUCUAGGAUUGACGUAAUGAUUAAUAGGGAUAGUUGGGGGCAUUAGUAUUCAAUUGUCAGAGGUGAAAUUCUUGGAUUUAUUGAAGACUAACUACUGCGAAAGCAUUUGCCAAGGAUGUUUUCAUUAAUCAAGAACGAAAGUUAGGGGAUCGAAGACGAUCAGAUACCGUCGUAGU